UAACAUGUCUUCGGAUGCUGACGAGUGGCGAACGGGUGAGUACCCAUCGGAACGUGCCCGAGAGUGGGGGAUAACGAAGCGAAAGCUUUGCUAAUACCGCAUACGAUCUCAGGAUGAAAGCAGGGGACCGCAAGGCCUUGCGCUCACGGAGCGGCCGAUGGCAGAUUAGGUAGUUGGUGGGAUAAAAGCUUACCAAGCCGACGAUCUGUAGCUGGUCUGAGAGGACGACCAGCCACACUGGGACUGAGACACGGCCCAGACUCCUACGGGAGGCAGCAGUGGGGAAUUUUGGACAAUGGGCGCAAGCCUGAUCCAGCCAUGCCGCGUGCAGGAUGAAGGCCUUCGGGUUGUAAACUGCUUUUGUACGGAACGAAAAGACUCCUUCUAAUAAAGGGGGUCCAUGACGGUACCGUAAGAAUAAGCACCGGCUAACUACGUGCCAGCAGCCGCGGUAAUACGUAGGGUGCGAGCGUUAAUCAGAAUUACUGGGCGUAAAGCGUGCGCAGGCGGUGAUGUAAGACAGAUGUGAAAUCCCCGGGCUCAACCUGGGAACUGCAUUUGUGACUGCAUCGCUGGAGUGCGGCAGAGGGGGAUGGAAUUCCGCGUGUAGCAGUGAAAUGCGUAUAUAUGCGGAGGAACACCGAUGGCGAAGGCAAUCCCCUGGGCCUGCACUGACGCUCAUGCACGAAAGCGUGGGGAGCAAACGGGAUUAGAUACCCUGGUAGUCCACGCCCUAAACGAUGUCAACUGGUUGUUGGGGUCUUCACUGACUCAGUAACGAACCUAACGCGUGAAGU
rnacentral:rRNA from 1 species